rnacentral:rRNA from 1 species
AUUGAACGCUGGCGGCAUGCCUUACACAUGCAAGUCGAACGGCAGCACGGGAGCAAUCCUGGUGGCGAGUGGCGAACGGGUGAGUAAAGUAUCGGAACGUGCCCAGUCGUGGGGGAUAACGUAGCGAAAGUUACGCUAAUACCGCAUACGAUCUAUGGAGGAAAGCGGGGGAUGGCAAGACCUCGCGCAAUGGGAGCGGCCGAUAACAGAUGAGGUGGUUGGUGGGGUAAAGGCUAACCAAGCAGACGAUCUGUAGCUGGUCUGAGAGGACGACCAGCCACACUGGGACUGAGACACGGCCAAGACUCCUACGGGAGGCAGCAGUGGGGAAUUUUGGACAAUGGGCGAAAGCCUGAUCCAGCCAUGCCGCGUGCAGGAUGAAGGCCUUCGGGUUGUAAACUGCUUUUGUACGGAACGAAGAGGUUUGGCCUAAUAAGCUGAGCUCAUGACGGUACCGUAAGAAUAAGCACCGGCUAACUACGUGCCAGCCGCCGCCGUAA